AUGACAUAUAAUAUGCAAGGGAUGGAAAAGACAAUUCCCGAGCUCUUCGCAAUGCUAAAGGCUGGGGAGGUAGAAAUCAAAAAGGAGCAUCAAGUGUUGAUGGUUAACAAGACCACUAGUUUCAAGAAAAAGGGCAAAGUGAAGAAGGGGAACGUCAAGAAGAACAGCAAGCCAGUUGCUGCUCAAGGGAAGAAGCCCAAGUCUGGACCUAAGCCUGAAACUGAGUGCUUCUACUACAAAGGGACUGGUCACUGGAAGCGGAACUGCCCCAAGUAUUUCGCGGAUAAGAAGGAUGACAAAGUGAAAGGUAUAUUUGAUAUACAUGUUAUUUAUGUGUACUUUACUAGUGUUCAUAGUAACCCCAGGGUAUUUGAUACCGGUUUAGUUGCUAUGAUUAGUAACUCGAAACAGGAGUUACAAAAUGAACAUAGACUAGUUGAGGGCGAGGCAACAAUGUGUGUUGGAAGUGAUUCCAAGGUUGAUAAGAUCACUAUUGCAUACUCCCUCUACCUUCGGGAUUAG
rnacentral:rRNA from 1 species